rnacentral:rRNA from 1 species
UAAAAAUAAAAGUAACUGAGCAGCGACGCCGCGUGACGAAGAAUGUUUCGGUAUGUAAAGCUCUAUCAGCAGGGAAGAAAUGACGGGACCUGACUAAGAAGCACCGGCUAAAUACGUGCCAACAGCCGCGGUAAUACGUAUGGUGCAAGCGUUAUCCGGAUUUACUGGGUGUAAAGGGAGCGUAGACGGUUGUGUAAGUCUGAUGUGAAAGCCCGGGGCUCAACCCCGGGACUGCAUUGGAAACUAUGUAACUAGAGUGUCGGAGAGGUAAGCGGAAUUCCUAGUGUAGCGGUGAAAUGCGUAGAUAUUAGGAGGAACACCAGUGGCGAAGGCGGCUUACUGGACGAUCACUGACGUUGAGGCUCGAAAGCGUGGGGAGCAAACAGGAUUAGAUACCCUGGUAGUCCACGCCGUAAACGAUGACUACUAGGUGUCGGGGAGCAAAGCUCUUCGGUGCCGCAGCAAACGCAAUAAGUAGUCCACCUGGGGAGUACGAUCGCAAGAAUGAAACUCAAAGGA